rnacentral:rRNA from 1 species
UUCGGUGGUCAUGGCGGUGGGGAAACGCCCGGUUCCAUUCCGAACCCGGAAGCUAAGCCCACCAGCGCCGAUGGUACUGCACUCGAAGGGGUGUGGGAGAGUAGGACACCGCCGAAC